UACGGAGGGUGCAAGCGUUAUCCGGAUUCACUGGGUUUAAAGGGUGCGUAGGCGGGCAGGUAAGUCAGUGGUGAAAUCCUGUAGCUUAACUACAGAACUGCCAUUGAUACUAUUUGUCUUGAAUACCCUGGAGGUGAGCGGAAUAUGUCAUGUAGCGGUGAAAUGCUUAGAUAUGACAUAGAACAUCUAUUGCGAAGGCAGCUCACUACGGGAAUAUUGACGCUGAGGCACGAAAGCGUGGGGAUCAAACAGG
rnacentral:rRNA from 1 species